AUGGUAGACUGUUUACCUAAUGAAUCAGACUCUUGCUUUAGGUGCAGCCUGUGGUGCAGUGACGGUUUCUUGGCCCUUUCACAGGGGCUGGUUGGUUUUGUCAAGUACAGCUGUGGAGUUUGUCAUUGUAGAAGCCCAAUGGUCCCGGCGAGGCCUUCGCCAACUUUCGGUUCCCAAGGUAGUCCUGCUGUAAUUGUGGACCCGCCAUCCCCCUGUGGAUUACAGGAUUUCUGCCAGUUUACCUCCUGGGAUGAUGGUACUCUGUGGGGAAAAAAGGAGAAAUGA
ensembl:lncRNA